CCAAUGUUUUAAGCACCUUUGUGAUUCCCCUCUCUGUUGUGUCCUUAAAUGAAUUCUGAUUUAACUUCUGUUACCUCCUGGGGUAGAUGGUGCUUUUUCUUACUGCAGCAGAAGUUCUAGUCAGCUGUGGGUUUAUCUCACCAGUAGCUGUGUGAAAACUGCAGAGUUCAGACCUUUAUGUGCAGGUGGGAAUCCUCACUACUACAGCAGCAGAAUAAGGGCUGUUUUAGAAACUCCAGCAUCUAAUUACAUGGAAAAGAAAGUGAUAACAUCAGGAAAUUUGACACUGCGACUGGUAGACUGUCCAUGUGUUGAACUCUGCUCUGAGAGAAUUUCAGCUUUUAAUCCUGAACCUGAAUUUACCUGUGAGAUUUGUUUUAUCUUCCAAAAAAUGAGCUCUGGCACAUUAUAGUCUCAGGAAUUUCAGUACUGUCUUUUAUUUUAUGUCUGGACAUGAAAGUCAAGAACUUGAGCGACCUGGGACCACUGAAUUGCCAUCAGAGAAGAAAUUCACCUUCAAGGCUAAGACUUCAAAAAGGAUAGUGUGAUGAGAUUUAUCUUGGUGCUCUGUGUGUAAUUUAGCUAUACACUGAGCAUUAUCUACUCUGGUGGGAGAAGUGAAUUUCAAUAUCUUGGAAUAUAAUGUUGUUAUUUCUAUAUUUUAAUGUUUUGUGAAGAUUCUCAAGCAUGUAUGUAGAAAGAAACUUUUUUGAUAAAGUUACGUGUUUUUGUGCUUUACUAAAGUACAAGGAAAGAAAGUAAAGCAACCCCAGCAUUUGUGUAAUGUGGAUUCCCACGGUGGUAUUCAAAGCAGUGUAAGCAUCUUCCUCUGCUCUCAUUUGGUGCUGUCAUUGUUUUUUAAAGGUGAAUCUGGCAGGUUGUCUGCAUUCCGAGAGAGAGUGAGCCCCUGGAGACAAGUGGCUUAUUUUGAGUGUGGAACUCCAUGAAAGAACUAAAUCCUUUCAUAGCACUGCAUCUUGCCUACAACUUACUUCUCUAAAUAGUGACUUGUAUAUUAAAAAUAAAACACAAAUUAAAAAAAACCACACCAAAACAAAACAAACCCUAAAAUUCUGCUACAGCAGGAGGGAAGGUGGAAAAUUUAUUCCUUGGUUCCUUUGUGGAGAGAUAUUUUGAUGUCUACCUCCUGGCUUUGCCCUCUUUUCUACCCCCACCACUAUUUUUGAAAGCAACCUUUUACUUUCAGCUUGCCUAGCAACAUCUGAUUCUUGGCCUUUCCCACUGAAUUGGGAUUUUGGUUUUACCCUGUCAGCAGGUAAAUGGCCUUAAGCCCUUCAUGGUUUUGUCAGGGUAAAGUGGAGCUGAAAAGCAUUACAUAUGUUCCAAGUUGAGAGGCAGCUCUUUUGCCGUGUUCAAGUGGGUGUUUACCAUCCCCCUCUUCUCCUUCUAUUAAAGGGCUCAGUCACAAUGAAGCUUUAAUCAGCUUCAUUGAUUUAAAGCUAAUUUGCACUUGGCUUCAAGGCUAAGGUCUGUAGCACAAGCUGAAGACCUUUAAAUCAGAAGUUGGAAUGAAAAGCCUUAGGUAUAUCAUAUUGUCUGCUGUGCAAAAGAAUAGCAGCUCCUGAAAACUGCAAAUUAAGUAUAAGAAAAAAGCACAAAGCAGUGUUUUCUUGUGUGUUAAUGUAACCUCAGCUUGCUGAGUUACACAAGCUUUUCUAUCAACAUUUCUGCUUCAUCAUGUAAAUUAAUAGAGUCGGCUGAAUAUAUUUUAGCUCUGUGAUGUUUUCAGCACUCAUAUUCUGGUUGGUUUCAGUUGGAUUUAACCUAAUUGCCAAACCAAUUCCCAUCAGUAAUAACUUAACAUUUAUUUGUCCCAAAGGGGAAAAAAAAGUCUUGUCUGUUAUUCUGCAAUUAAGAAGGUGAUGAAAUAUUCAGUGUAUGCCUCCACUUCAACUUAAAUUCUUUUGUUAACUUUAUCAGAUAAACCAUAAAAUAUUAACCAGCCUA